AUGCGGAACGGAGCAAUCCGGU
rnacentral:snRNA from 1 species